rnacentral:rRNA from 1 species
ACAUCCAGAGAACUUAGCAGAGAUUGCUUUUGGUGCCUUCGGGAACUCUGAGACAGGUGCUGCAUGGCUGUCGUCAGCUCGUGUUGUGAAAUGUUGGGUUAAGUCCCGCAACGAGCGCAACCCUUAUCCUUUGUUGCCAGCGGUUCGGCCGGGAACUCAAAGGAGACUGCCGGUGAUAACCGGAGGAAGGUGGGGAUGACGUCAAGUCAUCAUGGCCCUUACGGCCAGGGCUACACACGUGCUACAAUGGCGCAUACAAAGAGAAGCGACCUCGCGAGAGCAAGCGGACCUCAUAAAGUGCGUCGUAGUCCGGAUUGGAGUCUGCAACUCGACUCCAUGAAGUCGGAAUCGCUAGUAAUCGUAGAUCAGAAUGCUACGGUGAAUACGUUCCCGGGCCUUGUACACACCGCCCGUCACACCAUGGGAGUGGGUUGCAAAAGAAGUAGGUAGCUUAACCUUCGGGAGGGCGCUUACCACUUUGUGAUUCAUGACUGGGGUGAAGUCGUAACAAGGUAGGCGUAGCGAG